rnacentral:tRNA from 1 species
GCCUUCGUGGUGUAGUAGUCAGCACGCUAGACUCGUAUUCAAGAGGUUCGUGGUCCUAGUUCCGGCAAGGGCA